GACGAACGCUGGCGGCGUGCUUAACACAUGCAAGUCGAACGGAAAGGCCCUGCUUUUGUGGGGUGCUCGAGUGGCGAACGGGUGUGUAACACGUGAGUAACCUGCCCUUGACUUUGGGAUAACUUCAGGAAACUGGGGCUAAUACCGGAUAGGAGCUCCUGCUGCAUGGUGGGGGUUGGAAAGUUUCGGCGGUUGGGGAUGGACUCGCGGCUUAUCAGCUUGUUGGUGGGGUAGUGGCUCACCAAGGCUUUGACGGGUAGCCGGCCUGAGAGGGUGACCGGCAACAUUGGGACUGAGAUACGGCCCAGACUCCUACGGGAGGCAGCAGUGGGAAAUAUUGCACAAUGGGCGGAAGCCUGAUGCAGCAACGCCGCGUGCGGGAUGACGGCCUUCGGGUUGUAAACCGCUUUCGCCUGUGACGAAGCGUGAGUGACGGUAAUGGGUAAAGAAGCACCGGCUAACUACGUG
rnacentral:rRNA from 1 species